AUUGAACGCUGGCGGAAGGCCUAACACAUGCAAGUCGAGCGAGCGGCGGAAGGGUGAGUAAUGUAUGGGGACUGCCCGAUAGAGGGGGAUAACUACUGGAAACGGUAGCUAAUACCGCAUACUAUCGGAUAACCCAUAUGGGAUUAGCUUGGAGGUGGGGUAAAGGCUCACCUAGGCGCCGAUCGCUAGCUGGUCUGAGAGGAUGAUCAGCCACACUGUGACUGCGACACGGCCCAGACGCCUACGGAGGCAGCAGUGGGGAAUAUGGCACAAUGGGCGAAAGCCUGAUGCAGCGACGCCGCGGGGGGGAUGAAGGGUUGCGGGUUGUAAACCUCUUUCGCUAUCUAACGGGUAGUUGGAGAAGAAGCGCCGGCUAACUACGUGCCAGCCGCCGCGGUAAUAC
rnacentral:rRNA from 1 species